rnacentral:lncRNA from 1 species
AUUGGCAUCCCCAGGGUGAAAAAACACAUUUUUGGCAACCUCUCUGUGCGAGGUCUUCUCAAAUGCAUCAUUUUGUUUAUCUCGAGACCCUUAGGUAUGAGAGAUGUGGGUAUUCAGCUCACCUCCAUUUUACAGAUGAGGAAACUGAGGAAUAAACCAAAUGGUUUUUUCUUUUGCUCACCUUGCCAUGAAUCCUCUCUACCUUCUUCCCUAAGUCACUCGGAUCACAUCACAAACAGUGACACCAGGAGGCAAUCAUACCUAACAAUGUCCCCAGUUUGCACUAAAGAUCAGUGUCCUUCUUCCCCUCCAGGGAGAGCAUAGCCCAAGUGCCUGGCUCAGGAGCAAAGCCUGGGACACGUCAGGCCCCACUGCGCCAUCUGCCGGCUGUCACUGCUUGCUGCAUGACCUCCCCAAUCAUGGCGGAGUACUGGCCAGAGCUGAGGAGGUGGGAAUAUCUGUAAAUCUCCCACUUUUGCAUUUCAUUUUCAUAACACCUUUGGGAAGUAAACAGUAUCAUCCUGAUUUCAAGUGCUUGGAAACUGAGGCUGAGAGAGAUUAUGUGCUUAUCUCAUACCAGGAAUCUGUGUGGACCGGUGCCGAGGAGACCUGGACUGUGGGGCUGGACAGCGGUGUCUCAGGAGGGGAUGUCGUCGAGUCUGCACUCCAGCCCUGGGACCAGUGGCAGAUGUCUGUGUGGAUCGAUGCUGAACACACCAGGACUGUGCUGUAGGACGUCUGUGUGUCGGCAAUGGAUGCGGCCAUGUCUGCCGGCCAGCCCAAGACCAAGGUAAAAGCUUCAAGUUCCGCCUUCUGCAUCCCUGACCCACUGAAUGCUUAGCCCUGCCGGGACAUGGCCACCAGGCCCCCUGCACAGAAAGAGAGAGAAGGUGGCUACAGCUGGGGCCAGUGGUAGCCUCUGUGAGAAUUAGAAAAGAUGCUCCUUCCUCCCUGUCUAGAAGGUCAUGAAGACAGAUUAAUAACACUUGUUUUGGAAGAAUUUGUAAACUUGAAAAGCUGGAAAUACUAUUAAAACACCAAAUUAUUCCUCUGCAAGGGCUGGAAAGAAC